GAUGAAGAACGCAGCGAACUGCGAUAAGUAAUGUGAAUUGCAGAAUUCAGUGAAUCAUCGAGUCUUUGAACGCACAUUGCGCCCCCUGGCAUUCCGGGGGGCAUGCCUGUCCGAGCGUCAUUGCUGCCCUUCAAGCCCGGCUUGUGUGUUGGGUCGUCGUCCCCCCCGGGGGACGGGCCCGAGAGGCAGCGGCGGCACCGCGUCCGGUCCUCGGGCGUAUGGGGCUUUGUCACCCGCUCGAUUAGGGCCGGCCGGGCGCCAGCCGGCGUCUCCAACCUUCUAUUUUACCAGGUUGACCUCGGAUCAGGUAGGGAUACCCGCUGAACUUAAGCAUAUCAAUAAGCGGAGGA
rnacentral:misc_RNA from 1 species